rnacentral:rRNA from 1 species
UACAGAGGGUGCAAGCGUUAAUCGGAAUUACUGGGCGUAAAGCGUGCGUAGGCGGUUAUUUAAGUCGGAUGUAAAAUCCCCGGGCUCAACCUGGGAAUUGCAUUCGAUACUGGAUUGCUAGAGUUCGGCAGAGGGAAGCGGAAUUUCGGGUGUAGCGGUGAAAUGCGUAGAUAUCCGAAGGAACAUCAGUGGCGAAAGCGGCUGCCUGGACCAGAACUGACGAUCAGGCACGAAAGCGUGGGGAGCAAACAGG